rnacentral:misc_RNA from 1 species
GGUCUCACAGUUAGCCACGGACAGUUCCUAACGCAACAAAAUGGCGGCAGAUCGAGAAUUUUUCAAUGAGAUUAUCAAUAAUAUAGACGAUAUAUUCGUGCCCGAUGAUCUGCACAGCGCUCGUCGUGAGCUCCAGGAUGGCGAAAUUGCGCGAACUCUCGAACGUUGCUACAGCGUCAUUACCGAGUCCGGGAAGCUGUUGAGCGCCUCGACCGUCUCGGCCUUGUCGCAUCGCAAGCCCUUGAGUGCCUCCUCGCUGCAGCUGUCCGUGACGAGCUAUUUGAGUCGGUUCCUCAAGCGGCCCGUCUACGAGAAGAUAAAGCGCCGGCAAACGCGCCUGGAUCACAAUCUCUUCGAUGUGCUGUGGCCGGCGAUGCGCAAGACGUCGAAGCUGCGCCACCUGGAGGAGGACAUCAAUUGUGGCAUUAUAGCGCCCGAUUUCGAUGUGUUUGUGGUGUUUCAGGAGUUUCUGGUGCCGCUGCUCAAGGACAUGCACUGCCUGAGCAUCGAUGCGGAAUUCAAGCCGCAUCCGCGACUCGCCUACUUUCCCAUGGACAACGGCGAGCGUCUGAAUACGGCCGCAUUUGUCUACGACGACGAGUCGCAGCUGGUGACGCGUUGCAUUGUGGAGGCAUCACGGAAUCUGGACCAACUGGAGCUGCCCCUCAAUCUGACCAUUGGCCAGAUCGAGCAGGCCGAACGCCUCAUGAUGGGCCGCAUAUUUACGGCCAGCUUUGCCGAGGCCAUUGGCGAAACGGAAUCGGGCAGCUACUAUACGCUGACAGAGCUCAUGGAGCCGGACUCGGAGGUGGCCAAGCUGCUGGGCAGCCUGGGUCUAAUGAUACCCCUGCUCGAUGACAAGGAUCUGGUGCAGGCAGCCGAGUCGACGGCCUUCAAUGGCGCACUGUGGCCCUAUGGCCGCGGUGUCUACGUCAACUCCGCCCACAAUAUGGCGCUGUGGCUCAACUGUCAGGAGCAUCUGCGCGUCAUCUCGGCCAGCAGUGCCAAGGAUCCGGCGGAUAUGGGCGCCGCCUACACCCGGGUGGGUCGCGCCGUCACCUAUCUGGAGACACAGCUGCACUUCAAGGAGAGCUAUCUGCUGGGCUAUCUGCAGUCGCGGCCAGCCUAUCUGGGCACUGGCCUCAAGAUGACCACCAUUGUGAAGCUGCCCAAUCUGAUGAAGGAGCUGGAUAACUUGCGUCACCUGUGCUCCGUGCGCGGCCUGAGCAUGGUGACCAAUCGCCUGUCCAAGCUGACCGUGCGCUUGAUCAACAUGCAGAGCAUGGGCGUUGUGGAGUAUGUCCUGUUCCAGGACUAUUGCACCGCCGUCACCAACAUCCUGUCGCUGGAGAAGGACAUGUCGCUGACGAACUCCAAGCAUAUUGCCACCAUGCUGGUGAAGAUCUUCAAGCGCAAAAAGAAUAGCAUUAUCGAUCGAAACUAAUCAAAGAAACCAACCGCAAAAGAAACCAAAUGAAAAGCACAAUUCAUACAUUAAUCAAAUUCAAUUUGUAUUGUAAAUACAACCGAGCACAGCAAAGUAAAACUACUCAAAUUGUAAUAUAUAUAUAUAGAUAAACAUAUAUACAGCUACUCGAUCGAUACAUAGAGCUUACAAGCAAACAAACAAAAUAAAAUAAAUCGUUUUAAUUAAAUACCAAAAACCACAUCCUCAGCUUCGGCCGCAACGUCGCACGCAAAAAGUUUUCAUGAGAUACACGUCAGUCGCAGCCCGUUACCUUUCAGGCCAAUCCCAUCUUCAAGACGGAACAGGGCAAAUAUCUGGCAGACACUCUCGCCGAUCCAUUGAU